rnacentral:lncRNA from 1 species
UUUUUUUAUAAAUAAAGGUAGAAAGAUAAAAACAGAAAGAGAUAUUUUCUUUUUGAAUAAAGAUAAAAAAAAAUAAAAGCAAAAAAGUAAAAACAGAAAAAUAAAAUCACCCAUCAGUAGGUGUUGAUAUUCUUUUCUUUUUUUUUCUUCCUGUCGAGUCUUUUCAAAAGGUUGACCAAACCAAGCACCUGUAUCCAUGUAUCAAUCAUAAGAACUUUAAUCUCCAAUUUCUUGAAGAUAUCCAUAAAGCACUUAAUCUUCUUUUCUUUCCUAUGAUUUUUCUUCUGAUGAGGAAGGGGUUUUGCAUAUGAUUUUUUCUUCUUCCCUCUCUUCCUCUUUUUCUCAAUCUUUUCCUCCCUCAACUUUCUCUUUUUAUUUUUCCUUGAUUUCUUUUUUAUUUUCGCAAUUUUUUUCUAUUUUUCUUUUCUCUCAACCACUUCUUUUUCUCUCUCCUCAUCUUUCUCUCCCUCACUCAACUUUUGUGUUUCUUCCUCUAUCUUUUCCUCCUCCAUCUUCUCCUCAUCAAUAACCUUAUUAAUUUGUGUCUCCAAAUUCCUGAAGGUAACUUCAUAGCUCUUGGAAUCGUACUUCUUCAAAAAUUUGUCGAACUUUUCAUUAAGGCUUUUGACUUGUUCCGUCAAAUCAACUAUCUGAUGAUAUAGUUGUUGAUCAUCCUCCCACGUUUCUGUUGGUAAAGAAAGUUGUUGCAGCCAUAAACGUUGUUCAGCUUCCCC